rnacentral:rRNA from 1 species
UGCCAGACUCCUACGGGAGGCAGCAGUGGGGAAUAUUGCACAAUGGGGGAAACCCUGAUGCAGCGACGCCGCGUGGGCGACGAAGCGCUCCGGCGCGUAAAGCCCUGUCAGCAGGGAAGAACAAAGACAGUACCUGACCAAGAAGCCCCGGCUAACUACGUGCCAGCAGCCGCGGUAAUACGGAGGGUGCGAGCGUUAAUCGGAAUUACUGGGCGUAAAGCGCUCGUAGGCGGUAUGUCAAGUCAAGGGUGAAAUCCCCGCGCUCAACGUGGGAACUGCCUUUGAAACUGGCAAACUGGAGUGUGUGAGAGGAUAGUGGAAUUCCAGGUGUAGGAGUGAAAUCCGUAGAUAUCUGGAGGAACAUCAGUGGCGAAGGCGACUAUCUGGCACAUAACUGACGCUGAGGAGCGAAAGCGUGGGUAGCAAACAGGAUUAGAUACCCGAGUA